UUGAUGGACCUUGAGCCGUGGCUUUUCGGAGCUAACGCGUUAAAGUAGACCGCCUGGGGAGUACGGUCGCAAGAUUAAAACUCAAAUGAAUUGACGGGGGCCCGCACAAGCGGUGGAGCAUGUGGUUUAAUUCGAUGCAACGCGAAGAACCUUACCUACUCUUGACAUCUACAGAAGCCAGCGGAGACGCAGGUGUGCCUUCGGGAACUGUAAGACAGGUGCUGCAUGGCUGUCGUCAGCUCGUGUUGUGAAAUGUUGGGUUAAGUCCCGCAACGAGCGCAACCCUUAUCCUUGUUUGCCAGCACUUCGGGUGGGAACUCCAGGGAGACUGCCGGUGAUAAACCGGAGGAAGGUGGGGACGACGUCAAGUCAUCAUGGCCCUUACGAGUAGGGCUACACACGUGCUACAAUGGCGCAUACAGAGGGCGGCCAACUUGCGAAAGUGAGCGAAUCCCAAAAAGUGCGUCGUAGUCCGGAUUGGAGUCUGCAACUCGACUCCAUGAAGUCGGAAUCGCUAGUAAUCGUGGAUCAGAAUGCCACGGUGAAUACGUUCCCGGGCCUUGUACACACCGCCCGUCACACCAUGGGAGUGGGCUGCAAAAGAAGUGGGUAGUUUAACCUUCGGGAGGACGCUCACCACUUUGUGGUUCAUGACUGGGGUGAAGUCGUAACAAGGUAACCG
rnacentral:rRNA from 1 species